AAUCACGCGAAAUAAGAUAACACGGGAAACGGUUCAUUUCCCCCAAAUUCGUCCUCUUUCUUGAGCAACCAAUCCUCCUCUUCCUUCCAUCAAUAACAACCACCAACUGCCACCUAAGCCGUCGGACCCACACACCACCGGCACCUCAUCACCUCCCUCUACAACCUCCGACCAUUGCCUGCCCACCAAAUCACCGGAAACAGCGCCAAUUCCCAUCCAAAAUCGCGAGCGUAGUCACGAUUUUUUCCCAGUUAGUUCCACAUCCAGCCACCCUCUCGAUCAUGGAGCACCACCACAACAUUACUCUCAACCAAGAGCAUCUAAUUCUACCAUGGGUCACCCUAAAUUUUGUCUAGAAUCGACCGAGCUUGUUGGAGCAGAAUCGAUUGAGCUUUUGGGUAACUCACAAUUUUAACCCUAUUCAGCUUAAGGUACUUCUAUUGCCUUCUUCUUCUUCUUCUUUUCUUUCUAGUUUUUCUGGUUCUGCUCCUCUUUGUAUUUUAAUCCUCUGCCGUAAAAGACAACUUGCUGACUGAAUUGUCUUUUGAAAACUUUGUGCUUCUACUUUACUGAAUUUAUAUCUCAAACAGUACAUGGUAAUGUUAAACAAAGCUUUAAUUGACAAUUUGUUUACUUGGGUAGUGCGUGAAGAUCAGUUGGUGUCUAACUCGUCUCAGAUUUCCAGAAGGUAUUAAAUGCCAAUUGGAAAAAAUAUUGCUGAAUAGUUGGUUUCUUUGUGGAGAGAGAGAGAGAGAAAGAGAGAGAGAUGAUAUAUUAGAGGAAAAUAUGCUAAGUACUUGCCGUUUAUAUAUGAAAUCCCCCUACAGUAAUUAACAUCGAAAUUUGAUGGUAGAGAGUUGAUUUUUGGAGGGAGAUUUUUCUAUUUGAUCUAUUACUAUUCCUUUUUGUUAAAAGGUUUAUAUUACCCUUAAUGAAAAGAUUCUUUCUAUAUUGCAACAUAUAUUCUAAUCUCUUAAACAUUCUAUCUUAUAUUUUCCCUGUUUCGAAUAUUUGAAUAUAAUUUCAUUCUAUGAUUCAAUAAAUUGGAAUAAUCUGCAACAUAUUGUUCACAUUUAUCAGUUAAUAUAUUAUAUUUUUCAGAAGAUGCAUUCAUAUUUUCUAAUUGAGAAUAUAUAUUUUUUAUUACUUCUAACAUUCUUUCUAAUAAAUUAUCCAAUCCUUUAAUUUUAUAUUCUGACAUUUAUUCAAAUGAUCAUCAAAUCCUGCAAUUAAUCCCUACGAUUAUUUAAGAUCUUAAAAAGAUUCAUUCUAAUUUUAGCAAAAGUUUAAUAGUUUUACCUUAGGUUUGAUCUGGACUUGUAUUCUUAGAACCGAGUGACCUUCGAGCUCUAAAUUUGUAACAUGUUUCCUUCAACGACCUCCUGCCUUCAUGGAAUUGUUACUGUUUCAGCUACUUGCUCUCACUGUAUCAACUUCUAAAGAAUAAAAUCAUAAACUUCUGUUAGAGAAAAACUUUCUUUUUGCUAAAAUAAGAAGGAAAAUUUUUAUCAGAUCUAUCAAAAAUCUAUGGGAAUAAAGAUUUAGAAACUCAUAUUCAUAUAAAAAAUAUUGGAGUUUUAUUUCUAUCAGAAUUUAUACAAGACUUCUAUUUGAUACAAAGGGAUUUUCAGGAAAACUGAUUUUUCAAACUAAGGACGGAUUUUUUGAGUAACUAUUGCUUACAACUCGAGAUUUCAAAAUAGGAUGAACUUCUCUUUCUCUAUGGUAAUGUCUCUAUUUAUACAAGUUCGUGAGACUCUAUUACAUCAUUAAGUACAUCAGCAAGGCACAAUUGCCUCUCUAUUAUUUUCCUCCUUUGGCCUACAUCUUCACAUCUUGCUUCAACUUUUUAACCAAAGAGCAUCUUUUUCUAUUAUUGCUCUAAUCUUCAAUGUCUUCACAUGCAGCUAUACACCUUUGUCAAAUGUGCUCUAUUAUUGUCCUCUUCAUUUCUUCACAUGCAGUUGGGGCACUCCCUUAACUGGCGGGAUGCUUUUAUAGUGGUAGGACAUCCUGAAAAUUGAUAUAUAUUAAAUCUUGUAAUAUAGUCUUUUAAAAUUUCUGAUUUUCCAUAUCCUCCAUUGGAUACCAACAUCCAAUUUUCAUAUUGGCACAAGCACAAGAAUUUUUAAUCAAACAAAUUUUUGGCAAUGUUGUAGAUGGCUUUAAUUUCAAGCGCUCUUCUAUGUUUGAUCCAUGAUUUUGUCACUAUUGGAACUUUUCUAUUAUUUUCUGUAACAUCAAUUUGGAAAUUAGCUGCAACAUAUCCAAUCGAGAUUAUGCGUUCAACUGGAUAGUAAACAACUACAUCAUAUUCUGGACUGAUUAAAUAGAAUUUCAACUAUAUUUUCCUUCUCUUAGCAAAUCUGGAUACUUCUUUAAUGUAUAUGUCAUCAAACUUCAAAAUUUUAAUAAAAUCUUUUCCUGGAUAUAUCAAAUCUAUGAAUCCAUAAUCUGCCAUAAUUUUUAUAAAUGAAGGGUCACCUCCUUCCAUGACUGUUUUUCUGGGGUAAACAUUAUUUCCCGGAUAAAUGAAAUAUAAAUCACUCAUUUUUAUUUCAUAAGCGAUUUUAACUAUUUCGACAUAUUUUUCUUCUUUUGGAUUUAAAGAGAUUUUAUCUUCUUGGUCUAUGAUGCUGAUUGUUUUGGUAUCUCUUUUAUCUUCAUGUAUCAUAAUUUUCUUGGUGAUGAUACAGGAAUGGAAUCUCCUUUAUAAUCAGUUGGUAUGUUAUCACGUCUGGGUCUACUGCUGCUUCUAGCUGUCCCUGUUUGGUAUUGAUUUGGAAAACUCAUUUCUGAACUUUUUGGUAUAUCUGUCUCAGACAGUAUAUUAUUUAGUUGUGCUGCUAUAGCAUCAACUUAAUUUUUGAGUUCUAUGGCAUAUUUAUGAUACUCAGUAGUGAUAUUCAACAGUAUUUUUAUAUUUGAGUUGAACAUCUCUGAGAUUU
rnacentral:lncRNA from 1 species